UGGGGAAUAUUGCACAAUGGGCGCAAGCCUGAUGCAGCAACGCCGCGUGAGGGACGACGGCCUUCGGGUUGUAAACCUCUUUUAGUAGGGAAGAAGCGAAAGUGACGGUACCUGCAGAAAAAGCACCGGCUAACUACGUGCCAGCAGCCGCGGUAAUACGUAGGGUGCGAGCGUUGUCCGGAAUUAUUGGGGCGUAAAGAGCUCGUAGGCGGUCUGUCGCGUCUGCUGUGAAAACCCGAGGCUCAACCUCGGGCCUGCAGUGGGUACGGGCAGACUAGAGUGCGGUAGGGGAGAAUGGAAUUCCUGGUGUAGCGGUGGAAUGCGCAGAUAUCAGGAGGAACACCGAUGGCGAAGGCAGUUCUCUGGGCCGUAACUGACGCUGAGGAGCGAAAGCGUGGGGAGCGAACAGGAUUAGAUACCCUGGUAGUCCACGCCGUAAACGUUGGGCGCUAGAUGUGGGGACCAUUCCACGGUUUCCGUGUCGCAGCUAACGCAUUAAGCGCCCCGCCUGGGGAGUACGGCCGCAAGGCU
rnacentral:rRNA from 1 species